rnacentral:rRNA from 1 species
UACGUAGGGUGCAAGCGUUGUCCGGAAUUAUUGGGCGUAAAGAGCUCGUAGGCGGUUUGUCGCGUCGAAUGUGAAAUCCCGGGGCUCAACCCCGGGCCUGCAUUCGAUACGGGCAGACUAGAGUUCGGUAGGGGAGACUGGAAUUCCUGGUGUAGCGGUGAAAUGCGCAGAUAUCUGGAGGAACACCGGUGGCGAAGGCGGGUCUCUGGGCCGAUACUGACGCUGAGGAGCGAAAGCGUGGGGAGCGAACAGG